UACGUAGGGGGCAAGCGUUGUCCGGAAUCAUUGGGCGUAAAGAGCGUGUAGGCGGCCCGAUAAGUCCGCUGUGAAAGUCCAGGGCUCAACCCUGGAAUGCCGGUGGAUACUGUCGGGCUCGAGUCCGGAAGAGGCGAGUGGAAUUCCUGGUGUAGCGGUGAAAUGCGCAGAUAUCAGGAGGAACACCAAUGGCGAAGGCAGCUCGCUGGGACGGUACUGACGCUGAGACGCGAAAGCGUGGGGAGCAAACAGG
rnacentral:rRNA from 1 species